rnacentral:rRNA from 1 species
UUGGGCGUAAAGCGUCCGCAGGUGGUUAAUCAAGUCUGCUGUUAAAGACAGAAGCUCAACUUCUGAUAGGCAGUGGAAACUGGGUAACUAGAGUAUGGUAGGGGUUGAGGGAAUUCCCAGUGUAGCGGUGAAAUGCGUAGAGAUUGGGAAGAACACCAGUGGCGAAGGCGCUCAACUGGGCCAUAACUGACACUCAGGGACGAAAGCUAGGGUAGCGAAAGGGAUUAGAUACCCCUGUAGUCUUAGCUGUAAACGAUGAACACUAGGCGUUGCUUGUAUCGACCCGAGCAGUGCCGUAGCCAACGCGUUAAGUGUUCCGCCUGGGGAGUACGCACGCAAGUGUGAAACUCAAAGGAAUUGACGGGGGCCCGCACAAGCGGUAA